CGCACACACACACACACAGACAGACAGACCCACACACGUAGACACACCGGGUUGAUUAUACGUGCACACAAGAAGGAGAGAAAAAUUUAUUUUCUGCUCGUGUCAUCCAAUCAAAAAUUUGAAAUGUAAAACAUUCCGAGUUUCGUUGUAUGUGCGCUUUUGAUUCGGUGAAUUAUUACAUUAGUCGACGAGGGUUAUUGAUGACUCCACCAACUGGGUUAUACCAAACUCAAAAAUUGGAUGUGAGCCAAAACCAACCGAAAAUAUCCAUUUUGGUUUUGUUUGGUUUUAUUUUCCCUUUUCUUUAGUGUUUUGUUAGUGCGCGUUAUUCCAAACGGGGCGUUUUUUUUUUUUUGCUUGUUUUUCUUUUUAAUUUUUGUGUGAUGGACCUACGCACUGUAUAUUACAUCAAAAAGCGUGUUAAGGAAGAGAGUUUGGUCCAUGUGUGUUAUGAGCAGCUUGACGGGCUGGCUGGGGAACCUGCCAGUUUUCCUUCGCUCAUCCGUCUGUCCGUCUCCGACUUGACUUGCGACGCGUGACUCAUAGUGUUAAUUGAAUGAUUCAACAACAACAGCCAAAACAGAAACGGACAAAAUGGGUCGACUGUAGACGGGAAAUUAAAAAAAAAAACGAAGCAAAGACCUUGGCUUCCUUUUUCCUUUUUCUUCCCCUCAUUUCCUUCCGCCGGGAAUGUUAAUCCUUACGGCUGCCAGCGCCCCAAUGUGUCAAUGCUCAGUUUCGUUCCGGCUAUUUGAGAUCAUUCUCGCUCUCUGGCUGUAUCUGUUUUUUUUUUGUGUGUUAUUCUAUUACCGUUUGAUGAUAGACACACGCCAAUGGUUAUUUUAUUUUUUUUUGCUUUUUCGUUAAUUUAUUUCGUAUUUUCGAGUGGAGCGUGACUAUUUUUAAUUUUCUUGUUCAAGUCUCCCAUUUUUGUCUGUUUCGGUUGCGUUCGGCGGGCCAAUGGCGCCUGCCUAAAUGAUGAUGUGUCUUUUUUUUUGUUUUGUUUUCUUCUUCUUCUUCUUUUCAUCCGAAAGGUUUUUGAACCUUUUUCGACGUGUUUUCUCCGUCGUGCGCUCCUGUUGUGGGAAAAUUGGUUCAACCGAUUUGCAUAUCUUUUUAAAAACACAACACAUUUUGUUUUUUUUUUUUUUUUUUGGCUCUUUUGUUCUUUUUGCGUGUGGCUUUAAAAAAAAAAUGUUUAAAGCUUGGGGCGUUACAUGUUAUACAUAAUAUUCUCUCUCUCUCUCCUAUGUCUGUGCGGAUGUAGGAAGAAAUGCGUGGAGGAACCGGGGCGUUGUGCAUCUGUUCAGUAAAUCCUUCAGUUACGUCGAUUCGUUGCAAUUCAACACUGUGCCCUUUUUGUUCUGAAAUGUUCUUUUUUCCCCUCUUGCGCCAUCACACUUAUCGCCGACUGUUGUUUUGUUGGUGGACUACAAAUCGUGUCAACUUAUAACACACGGUCGGUUAAAAAUGUGAACCAGUUUCUUGCGUCAUCCACCGAUUCUUUACGCCCCAAGAAGAAAAGCUUCUUCUUUUUUCAAACCCCUUAACAGAAAUGACAGAAGGGGUGAGUGGGAACGGUGUGUGUUUGAGAUGGCUGCGUCAAAGGAACAUGGACCUCCCUGUUAACUCGUAAAGAUGCCACACGUUGAUAAGGCCACGUAUCUAUACGAGUUUUUAAGAAAAAAAUUAUUCAUUAUUAUAGUAGGGUCUGAAACGAAUGCGGUUUGUAGGUGGGGUAUAAAAGGUGGUCGUUAAUUCUUUUUUUAAGUUUAACUGGAGGUUCAAUUUUUUUUUUUCUGCUUGACUUAAAAAUACCGGGGGCAAUUGAAACUAUUAAAAUAGGACGCACACCAGUUGCGGCGAUCGAAUUCUUAAAAAAGAUAAUUUUUUUUUAUUUUCUUGUUCGGGUUAGAAAAUGUUUUCUUUAAGAAGAAAAAGAAAAAGAGAGAGAGGGAACAUGUUGGCCAGUGUCUGCUCUGAUUUAAAACCCGUGAAGCCAAAAAAAGAGAAAGGAAGGGCCAGACCGACGGCAGACUCCCGGAACAAAUCCUUAUAUAGCGAAGUAGACUAUACAUUUUGAUUUUCUAGUUAAAAAUAAACAUUUUUUUGUUUUGUUUUUUAAAGCUUUUUAAUUGAGGUUAGAGGCUACGCUGCUGGUACAUUUUUCAUUGUUUUUUUUUCUGUUUUGUUUAUUAUUAUUUAAAUCAUUUUUCUUUUAUAGGGCGCAGACAGAACAAAACGUAUAGAUUCGUCAUCGUUGAUGAUAUGCUCACUGGCCAGGCUAAUAAAAAAAAAAAUGGGGAUGGGGAGGGAUAUGUGUGUAGGAAAUAAUGUGGAGACGAGUCACGUCCGGAAUUUCACGUCUGCGCACGCUACAUUGAAAUUUCAGUGGAUUUAAAAAAUAAAAGGCGGAGAUUUUGUUGAUGCUGGAGCACGUCCAUGUUGUUGUUGCGCAGUUAGGAAAAAGGGAAAGAAAAUAAACAAAAACUUUGUGUGUGUUCCGAGCGUUUGAUUCUAGCAGCGUGACAUAAGUGAGAACCCCCCCAGACGAAUUUCCAAUUUCCUGUCUGCUUUUUUUCGGUGAGCGAAAGUUGGAAAGGGAAAAGAAAGAAAAAAAGGACAUAGCGACACGAAUGAAAUGACGAUGAUGAUGACGACGAUAGAAAACGAAAGAAAAAUAGUCGUGCAUGUCUUGAUUUUGUUCAUUUGUUCGUUUCUACGUUUUUUUUACGAUUCGAUUAUUGUUAUUAUGAUUUUUGGGAAAUCAGAGAAGAAUGGAUCGCUCGUCCUUGAAGGGGGCGGAUCUUUAAGGUCGCACCUUUACAUCCGGCACGAGGCAAAACAUUGUGUUCCGUGACGACAUGUCAAAUAUUUUCAUUUCUUUUUUUUUCGAUAUUGGAACGAACGUUUAAAGAUCUCCGAGUGAUUUUCAUUUGUAAAACGAUCUGCCGUUUAGCCACUGAAAGAAUUCAAGUAUCCCACAAAGUCUGUUGACUGACUGUCGGCCAGGCUCCAAACUUUGAUGAUCUUUGACAUUUGAAUGUCGCUGAUUUAUUUUGUCUCUUUGAAAUUGAAAAUAAAAAUUGUUAUUUUCUGAGCGAAAGAAAGUCAAAGAUGCCAAGACAAAACAAUGCCAUCCGAUGCCGUAUCUAAUCUGCAUGCGAAUCAGCUCAGUUUUUCAAAUGCGUCAGUUGCGAAUAUUUUGCCGCUCGAUGGACGCGUCUACGUCGCGCGUGAACGGCAAUUUGGAAUUUAUAUUCGAUCCUUUGAGGCCCUUUGUGUGUGUCUGUGAUUAGUUCAAGAAAGCAGCAACAAAAAACGAUGAGGAAGGAGAUGAGGGUAACGUGCGUGUUUGGCCGUGCCGUUGGUCACGCCAGGCUUCGUUAUCGGCGGCUAUAAACAUGUCGUUUGCCUCAAUAAGGAACUCGGGUUUCUUUUUGGAACGCAGUUGGUUCCUUGCGUCCGUCCGUUCGUGCGUUAUAUUGAAACGUCAAAGAAAAAUAUCAAGACGUCGGCACCAUUUCGCCUGUCAUGUGAUUCUCAGCCAAACAAAGGAAAGACAACGUCUUCAUUAUUCUUUCUCCUUCUUCUUCCCCCCGUGUUUCUUUCUUUUUUCUUUUUCCCUACAUUUUCAUCCAAACCAUUUCAUACGACAUUCUAUUUUCAUUACGGUAUUUUUAUUUUUUCUGUUUUUUUUUUUUUUUUUAUUAUUAUUAGUGGAAUGGCUCAACUUUUAGCGGCUUGGGCCAAACCGCAAAGUGCCAUGUGUCUGUGUUGAUUGAAUCGGAAAAGAGAAUCGUGAUCGCGUCAUGUAUACGCACUACUGGGGGGCUAAGAAUUAGAAACGGCUACGUAUCAACACGUAACGGUUCACCGUCGAUUAUUAUCAUCUAAAAUGUGGGACGGUCCAUUGGCCAAUAGUUUUUUGGAAAUGAAAUGCUGAUGCGGCACAUUUCCGUUUGUGUCAUGGGUGUGGUUUUCUCCGUCGCAAAAAAACGGAACAUUUAUCGAAUGAUUUUCACCUUUUUGUGUUGUUGUUGUUGUUGUACAGUUUUUGAAAUAAAAAGAAGAAUGCAA